rnacentral:rRNA from 1 species
AACGCACCUUGCGCUCCUUGGUAUUCCGAGGAGCAUGCCUGUUUGAGUGUCAUUAAAUUCUCAACCUUUGUUAACUUUUUGGUUAGCAAAUGGCUUGGAUGUGGGGGUAUGCAGGUUUCUCUAUUGAAAUUAGCUCCCCUGAAAUACAUUAGCUGGUUGCCUUGUGUAAACUUGUCUAUUGGUGUGAUAAUUAUCUACGCCUCAUGACUGCGAUGCUCUUGUUCUGCUUCUAACCGUCCAUUGACUUGGACAAGCUUUUUGACAAUUUGACCUCAAAUCAGGUAGGACUACCCGCUGAACUUAA